AAUAAAUGCUUUGUGACUUGCCUUGAAACGAAAGUAGUGCUGACUUAUACAUCAACUCUGGCCUCUAUCUCGCCUUUGCGACUGCUCUGUGUGGAAUGAGUUGCAAUUUCCAAAGUUAGAACUAAAGAAGGGACAGACGAAUGUAAUUAGGAGACUUAGGAAAGGAAUACCAGGAGUCCGCCAGGCCGAGCUCUGGGUCAUUAAUAAUGGCCUUCGAUUUGGAUACUGCUCUUUGAGUAGAAGCUUUAGAAAUCUCCGCAUCAGACAGAGAGACAGAGCAUGAGCAGGGGAGGGGCAGAGAGAGAGGGAGACAGAGAAUCUGAAGUAGGCUCCAGGCUCCGAGCCGUCAGCACAGAGCCCAACGUGGAGCUCGAACUCACAGACCGCGAGACCAUGACCUGAGCUGAAGUUGGAUGAUCAACCGACUGAGUUAGUGUCAAGAUCAAGCUAGAAUACAAGCCACUGGACAGUUAACAAGUGUCAGGAGUCUUGUUUCUGCUCAAGAUAGGAUCCAUUUUUAUCUCAGUCCCCAAACACCAAAAAUAGCUCUUUCCAUCACAUUCUUCCCUUCCUCCACUGCACCUCCACAGUGGUUCAGGGCACUGGUAGACCCAGAGAACACACCCAGAACAGAUCUCAGGGCAGAGAGUGCGUGUAAAGCCAGUGCCCAAGUGACAGAAGAAGAUCCAGCUGGCAGCCAGCCUGGUGCAGUGUGUGUAGGACACAAGAAGCAACGACUCAGCCUGGCAAGAAGCCAAAACAGGCAACAAUCCUCAGAGGAGGGCCAGUCGAGACCGGGCAACACAAGGGGAAGAGAAAUCUGAACACAUCAGAACACAAACCAAGGAUCUGGUUUUCACUAGUUCCUGAAUGAUAAAGAAGUAGAAUUGUGUCUCAGAUCCCAAGGCGUACCCUCAUCUGAAGUUGUGUGUUUAGAGAUUUCUAAGUAAGCUGUGUGGUAACAUGCAUCUAGUUCUCUUUCCAGUGUGUUGGUCUAGUCUUUUCCCAGGAAACACUUUUGGUAUGUUCCUAAAGUCCUAAAGGACCCUCUCAGGGAUCACUUUUGAUGGUUGUCUAGAUGGAGUUGACCCUACCUAAUAAUUCAAUGCUAUUCAGUGGCUGUAGCAGGAAAACUCAGAAAGCCACCUUCCCUCCAGAAUGGAGCUUAAAGAAGUCUACUUCAGUCCGAGUCUGUUAUACUUUGCACCCCUACUACCCAGCAGGGACUGUGUCUUGAUUUUUACUUCCCACAGUGCCAAGUAUUGUGCAUGCUAGGCAUUCGAUAAAUAAAUAUAAAUAUAUAAAAAC